rnacentral:rRNA from 1 species
GAUGAUUGGGCGUAAGGGUGCGUAGGCGGUACGGUAAGUCUGUAGUAAAAGGCGGCAGCUCAACUGUCGUAGGCUAUGGAAACUGUCGAACUAGAGUGCAGAAGAGGGCGAUGGAACUCCAUGUGUAGCGGUAAAAUGCGUAGAUAUAUGGAAGAACACCAGUGGCGAAGGCGGUCGCCUGGUCUGUAACUGACGCUGAAGCACGAAAGCGUGGGGAGCAAAUAGGAUUAGAUACCCUAGUAGUCCACGCCGUAAACGAUGAGAACUAAGUGUUGGGGGAAUAACUCAGUGCUGCAGUUAACGCAAUAAGUUCUCCGCCUGGGGAGUAUGCACGCAAGUGUGAAACUCAAAGGAAUUGACGGGGGCCCGCACAAGCGGUGGAGUAUGUGGUUUAAUUCGAAGCAACGCGAAGAACCUUACCAGGCCUUGACAUCCCCGGCGAAGACAUGGAGACAUGUCGGAGGUUAACCGGGAGACAGGUGGUGCAUGGUUGUCGUCAGCUCGUGUCGUGAGAUGUUGGGUUAAGUCCCGCAACGAGCGCAACCCUUGUGAUAUGUUACUAACAGUAAGAUGAGGACUCAUAUCAGACUGCCGGUGACAAACCGGAGGAAGGUGGGGAUGACGUCAAAUCAUCAUGCCCCUUAUGGCCUGGGCUACACACGUACUACAAUGGCGGCUACAAAGAGCGGCGAACCCGCGAGGGGGAGCGAAUCUCAUAAAGGUCGUCUCAGUUCGGAUUGAAGUCUGCAACCCGACUUCAUGAAGUUGGAAUCGCUAGUAAUCGCGAAUCAGCAUGUCCCGGGGAAUACGUUCUCGGGCCU